rnacentral:rRNA from 1 species
GUGGGAAUCUUCCGCAAUGGACGAAAGUCUGACGGAGCGACGCCGCGUGAGUGAAGAAGGCCUUCGGGUCGUAAAGCUCUGUCAUCAGGGACGAACGGCCGGUGGAGUGGAAAGCCACCGGAUUGACGGUACCUGAGAAGGAAGCCACGGCUAACUACGUGCCAGCAGCCGCGGUAAUACGUAGGUGGCAAGCGUUGUCCGGAAUUAUUGGGCGUAAAGCGCGCGCAGGUGGGAUCUUAAGUCCAUUUUGAAAGUUCGGAGCUCAACUCCGUGAUGGGAUGGAAACUGGGAUUCUUGAGUACCGGAGAGGAAAGCGGAAUUCCCCGUGUAGCGGUGAAAUGCGUAGAUAUGGGGAGGAACACCAGUGGCGAAGGCGGCUUUCUGGACGGUGUCUGACACUGAGGCGCGAAAGCUAGGGGAGCGAACGGGAUUAGAUACCCCUGUAGUCC